rnacentral:rRNA from 3 species
GACCUCAAAUCAGGUAGGACUACCCGCUGAACUUAAGCAUAUCAAUAAGCGGAGGAAAAGAAACUAACAAGGAUUCCCCUAGUAACUGCGAGUGAAGCGGGAUGAGCUCAAAUUUUGAAUCUGGCGGUCUUCUGGCCGUCCGAGUUGUAAUCUAGAGAAGCGUCUUCCGCGC